UAAUAACCUCGUUCUAUGUAUAGGAUGUUAUUUUUUUAAAAAAUAUUUUAUUUUAUUAUUUUAUUAAUAUCUAUAUUUUUAUAUAUUUCAAAAAUAAUUAAAAAAUAAAAAUUAUAUUUUAUAUAUAGUAUAGAUUAUAAGUUAUUUUAUUUUUUUUAAAAUUUGAGAUUUUCUAUUGGCCUUUUACCUUCUAAUUUUUUUUAAAACCAUCAUCCUUUUUCCGUAUUAGCAUUUAUUGUUCUUCGCUUUACUCUUCACCUCUGGGGCUCGCUUUUUCUCCUCCAGCUCAUCUGCAAAGACA
rnacentral:lncRNA from 1 species